rnacentral:rRNA from 1 species
UACGAAGGGGGCUAGCGUUGCUCGGAAUCACUGGGCGUAAAGGGUGCGUAAGCGGGUCUUUAAGUCAGGGGUGAAAUCCUGGAGCUCAACUCCAGAACUGCCUUUGAUACUGAAGAUCUUGAGUUCGGGAGAGGUGAGUGGAACUGCGAGUGUAGAGGUGAAAUUCGUAGAUAUUGGCUGGAACACCGGUGGCGAAAGCGGCUCUCUGGCCCGGUUCUGACGCUGAGGCGCGAAAGCGUGGGGAGCAAACAGG